rnacentral:rRNA from 1 species
GACGAACGCUGUCGGCGUGCUUAACACAUGCAAGUCGAACGGAAAGGCCCUGCUUUUGUGGGGUGCUCGAGUGGCGAACGGGUGAGUAACACGUGAGCAACCUGCCCUUGACUUUGGGAUAACUUCAGGAAACUGGGGCUAAUACCGGAUAGGAGCUCCUGCUGCAUGGUGGGGGUUGGAAAGUUUCGGCGGUUGGGGAUGGACUCGCGGCUUAUCAGCUUGUUGGUGGGGUAGUGGCUUACCAAGGCUUUGACGGGUAGCCGGCCUGAGAGGGUGACCGGCCACAUUGGGACUGAGAUACGGCCCAGACUCCUACGGGAGGCAGCAGUGGGGAAUAUUGCACAAUGGGCGGAAGCCUGAUGCAGCAACGCCGCGUGCGGGAUGACGGCCUUCGGGUUGUAAACCGCUUUCGCCUGUGACGAAGCGUGAGUGACGGUAAUGGGUAAAGAAGCACCGGCUAACUACGUGCCAGCAGCCGCGGUGAUACGUAGGGUGCGAGCGUUGUCCGGAUUUAUUGGGCGUAAAGGGCUCGUAGGUGGUUGAUCGCGUCGGAAGUGUAAUCUUGGGGCUUAACCCUGAGCGUGCUUUCGAUACGGGUUGACUUGAGGAAGGUAGGGGAGAAUGGAAUUCCUGGUGGAGCGGUGGAAUGCGCAGAUAUCAGGAGGAACACCAGUGGCGAAGGCGGUUCUCUGGGCCUUUCCUGACGCUGAGGAGCGAAAGCGUGGGGAGCGAACAGGCUUAGAUACCCUGGUAGUCCACGCUGUAAACGGUGGGUACUAGGUGUGGGGUCCAUUCCACGGGUUCCGUGCCGUAGCUAACGCUUUAAGUACCCCGCCUGGGGAGUACGGCCGCAAGGCUAAAACUCAAAGGAAUUGACGGGGCCCCGCACAAGCGGCGGAGCAUGCGGAUUAAUUCGAUGCAACGCGUAGAACCUUACCUGGGUUUGACAUGGAUCGGGAGUGCUCAGAGAUGGGUGUGCCUCUUUUGGGGUCGGUUCACAGGUGGUGCAUGCCUGUCGUCAGCUCAUGUCGUGAGAUGUUGGGUUAAGUCCCGCAACGAGCGCAACCCUUGUUCACUGUUGCCAGCACGUUAUGGUGGGGACUCAGUGGAGACCGCCGGGGUCAACUCGGAGGAAGGUGGGGAUGACGUCAAGUCAUCAUGCCCCUUAUGUCCAGGGCUUCACGCAUGCUACAAUGGCUGGUACAGAGAGUGGCGAGCCUGUGAGGGUGAGCGAAUCUCGGAAAGCCGGUCUCAGUUCGGAUUGGGGUCUGCAACUCGACCUCAUGAAGUCGGAGUCGCUAGUAAUCGCAGAUCAGCAACGCUGCGGUGAAUACGUUCCCGGG